CCCGUGUUAGCCAGGUUGGCCUCGAUCCCCUCGUGAUCCGCCCGUCUCGGCCUCCCAAAGUGCUGGGAUUACAGGCAUGAGCCACCGCGCCCGGCCGAAGUGUCAACUUUCAAACUCACUUGGACUCUUCUAAGAAUCCAGUUUUUUGCACUUGUGUUAGGGGGCUGUCGUUAACUCCCAGUGGCCGCUGAGGUCCUUGCCUGUGGAUUCCUGCUUCUCAAAGCCAGCAAGGGCGUGUCAAAUCUGCUCAUGCUUGGAAUCUCUCUGACUUUUCCUUGGGUCACAUAUCUCUUGCUUCACCCUCUGCCACACUUUUUUUUUUCCUGAAAGCCAAAAAGAUUCUUUGCUUUAAGGGGUGAUGUAUUUAGAUUGAGAGCCCACCUGGAUAGUGGGUCCUCUCCCCUCCCGUUUUAGAUUCUCAGGCAGUUCUUUAUAGCAGUGUGAAAACGGACUAAUACACAGUGCUUUGUGCUUGGAAAACGGCAUGAAGGAGAUGGAGGUAAUGUGCGAUGACUGAGAGAAUUUGUAGAACAGCAAAAACCACUGAAAUGCCAUUCUUCAAUAGAGGCACCAGAUCUCCAGGUGUGCCUAAAGAAUCUUGGGGAUGUGUCUUCUGAAGCUAAAGAGACCCCUAAGCAUCCUGCAAAGAAGCCAACAAGGCCUGCAAAAGUCACCUAGAUCAUGAAAUUGACUAUGUCAGGGGAGGCAAUUCGUCACAAUCGUGUUUGAAAAUGAGGAUAAGCAUGGAGAGCCAAUGAUUACAUUUCACAAUGUCCUUCAUGGGUCUUCUCCUUUAAGAAACAACAUGAGGAUUCCCAGGCAAGAUGGCCAAAUAGGAACAGCUCCUGUCUGCAGCUCCCAGGGAGAACAAUGCAGAAGGCAGGUGAUUUCUGCAUUUCUAGCUCAGUGUAAACAAAGCCACCUGGAAGUUUGGAUUGGGCGGAGCCUACCAGAGCUGGGCAAAGCCUCUGUAGCCAGACUGCCUCUCUAGAUUCCUCCUCUCUGGGUAGGGAAUCUCUGAAAGAAAGGCGGCAGCCCCAGUCAGGGGCUUAUAGAUAAAACUCCCAUUUCUCAAAGACAGAGCACCUGGGGAAAGGGGCGGCUGUGGGCUCAGCUUCAGCAGACUUAAAUGUUCCUGCCUGCUGGCUCUGAAGAGAGCAGUGGAUCUCCCAGCACAAUGCUCGGCUCAAGCUCUGCUAAGGGACAUUCUGCCUUCUCAGGUGGGUCCCUGACCCCAUGUCUCCUGACAGGGAGACACCUCCCAGCAGAGGUUGACAGACACCUCAUACAGGAGAGCUCCGGCUGGCAUCUGGCAGGUGCCCCUCUGGGACAAAGUUUCCAGAGGAAGGAGCAGGCAGCAAUCUUUGCUGUUCUACAGCCUCUGCUGGUGAUACCCAGGCAAAGAGGAUCUGGAGUGGAUGCCUUAGCAAACUCUAGCAAACCUGCAGAAGAGGGGCCUGACUGUUAGAAGGAAAACUAACCAAUAGAAAGCAAUAGCAUCAAAAUCAACAAAAAGGAUGACCCCACAAAAACUCCAUACUAAGGUCACCAACAUCAAAG
rnacentral:lncRNA from 1 species